UGCCAGCCGCCGCGGUAAUACGGAGGGUGCAAGCGUUAAUCGGAAUUACUGGGCGUAAAGCGCACGUAGGUGGUUAGUUAAGCUAGCUGUGAAAGCCCCGGGCUCAACCUGGGAAUUGCAGUUAGAACUGGCUGGCUAGAGUACAGUAGAGGGUGGUGGAAUUCCCUGUGUAGCGGUGAAAUGCGUAGAUAUAGGAAGGAACAUCAGUGGCGAAGGCGACCACCUGGACUGAUACUGACGCUGAGGUGCGAAAGCGUGGGGAGCAAACGGGAUUAGAUA
rnacentral:rRNA from 1 species